CAAUAGCGUAUAUUAAAGUUGUUGCGGUUAAAAAGCUCGUAGUUGGAUUUCUGUCGAGGACAGCCGGUCCACACUUUGUGUGAGUAUCUGGUUUGGCCUUGGCAUCCUCUUGAAAAACAGCUCUGCGCUUGAUUGCGUGGACUGGAGUUCAAGACUUUUACUUUGAGGAAAUUAGAGUGUUCACGGCAGGCUUUCGCCUUGAAUAUAUUAGCAUGGAAUAAUAAUAUAGGAUCUUGGUUCUAUUUUGUUGGUUUCUAGGGCUGAGAUAAUGAUUAAUAGGGACAAUUGGGGGCAUUCGUAUUGCGGUGUCAGAGGUGGAAUUCUUGGAUUACUGCACGACGAACUACUGCGAAAGCAUUUGCCAAGGAUGUUUUCAUUGAUCAAGAACGAAAGUAAGGGAUCGAAGACGAUUAGAUACC
rnacentral:rRNA from 1 species